rnacentral:rRNA from 1 species
AGGUCCUACGGGACGCAGCAGUAGGGAAUCUUCCACAAUGGGCGAAAGCCUGAUGGAGCAACGCCGCGUGGGUGAAGAAGGUCUUCGAAUCGUAAAACCCUGUUGUUAGAGAAGAAAGUGCGUGAGAGUAACUGUUCACGUUUCGACGGUAUCUAACCAGAAAGCCACGGCUAACUACGUGCCAGCAGCCGCGGUAAUACGUAGGGGCCAAGCGUUAUCCGGAUUUAUUGGCCGUAAAGGGAA